rnacentral:rRNA from 1 species
UGGACGACUCUCGGCAACGGAUAUCUCGGCUCUCGCAUCGAUGAAGAACGUAGCGAAAUGCGAUACCUGGUGUGAAUUGCAGAAUCCCGUGAACCAUCGAGUCUUUGAACGCAAGUUGCGCCCGAGGCCAUCCGGCUAAGGGCACGCCUGCCUGGGGGUCACGC